GAUGGACGACUUUGUGCUGAGAGAACGGCUGCGGUUGGGGACCUGGGUGGAAACGAGCGCCUUCCCGAAUAGAAUGCUGAGCGGUGGCACUGUAAAACAGCCGCAACACAAGAAAGCAGCUCCCUUCCGCUGUCUGAAUACCAGCCUUCACUGGAAACAAUUGAGACAUUCCCGGGGACAGCAAGUUGGCUCUGCUGGAAGAGCUGAAGAGGUGUGCCAACUGAAGCUACAAAACUGGGGCUAAAGAGGUCACAACCUUCCUCAGGGAUAUAGUGCAAACCAGAAAGAUAAAAAUCACAAUGCCAUCUUUUCCUCUCAAGUCACCUUCCCCCAAUGUUUCUUUUGAAGGGUAAACAGAUCUGGGGGGUCUCUGGACGGCUAGGCUGCUGACAGUCCUCACCCCAUGUCUCCUCUGAAAGAGCAAUUUCUGGUAGCCUUAUACAGGCAUUGUGCAAUACUUGUGGAUUUUGAUUGACAAGGCUGCUAUUCCAUCUUAUUUCUGCUGCUUGACUUGCACUAGGGAAAUUCUUCAUACCCUCUCUCUGCCUUCCUUAUUUUUAAAUACCUCUGGAGGAAGGAGGAUGAUGGCUGGGAGGCAGGCAUGUUCCUGACCUUAAUGUCUGUACAGCACUUUGAAUAAGAAAGAAGUCAGUACUAAAUACAGCCAUCAUAAUGUGUCUAAA